AAGCUCGCUACGGCAGCACAUAUACUAAAAUUGGAUCGAUACAAAGAAGAUUAGCAUGGCCCUUGCGAAAGGAUGGCACACAAAUCCGUGAAGCGCUCCGUAUUCUU
ensembl:snRNA U6 U6 spliceosomal RNA